rnacentral:ncRNA from 1 species
CUCUUAUUUUGAGAGGCGGAGGGACUAGGCCCUGUGAUGCCCGGCAACCUUUCAAGCUUUUGUUUGAAAAAGGUGCCAAUUCCUACAGAUGGAUCCAUCUGGCAGAUAAGAG